UGGAGUAUGUUGUUUAAUUCGAAGAUACACGAAGAACCUUUACCAGGUCUUGACAUACCAUUGACAGGCGCAGAGAUGUGCUCUCCUUCGGGCAAUGGAUACAGGUGGUGCAUGGUUGUCGUCAGCUCGUGCCGUGAGGUGUUGGGUUAAGUCCCGCAACGAGCGCAACCCUCAUUGUUAGUUACUACCAUUCAGUUGAGGACUCUAAUGAGACUGCCAACGAUAAGUUGGAGAAGGUGGGGAUGACGUCAAAUCAUCAUGCCCUUUAUGACCUGGGCUACAAACGUACUACAAUGGCCAAUACAAAGAGAUGCGAAGCGGUGACGUGGAGCGAACCUCAGAAAGUUGGUCUCAGUUCAGAUUGAAGUCUGCAACUCGACUUCAUGAAGGCGGAAUCGCUAGUAAUCGCGGGUCAGCAGACCGCGGUGAAUACGUUCCCGGGUUUU
rnacentral:rRNA from 1 species